GAUGAGCUCACGUCCUAUCAGCUUGUUGGCGGGGUAACGGCCCACCAAGGCUGCGACGGGUAGCUGGUCUGAGAGGACGACCAGCCACACUGGCACUGCGACACGGGCCAGACUCCUACGGGAGGCAGCAGUGAGGAAUAUUGCGCAAUGGACGACAGUCUGACGCAGCGACGCCGCGUGGGGGAUGAAGGCCUUCGGGUUGUAAACCCCUUUCAGGAGGGAAGAUGGGACGGGCAACCGUUCGGACGGUACCUCCAGAAGAAGCCACGGCUAACUCUGUGCCAGCAGCCGCGGUAAGACAGAGGUGGCAAGCGUUGUUCGGAUUUACUGGGCGUAAAGCGUGCGUAGGUGGUUCGGUAAGACCUGUGGGAAAUCCCUGGGCUUAACCCAGGAAGGUCGCAGGUGACUGCCGUGCUUGAGGACGGGAGAGGAGAGCGGAAUUCCCGGUGUAGCGGUGAAAUGCGUAGAGAUCGGGAAGAAGGACGGUGGCGAAGGCGGCUCUCUGGAACGUUCCUGACACUGAGGCACGAAAGCGUGGGGAGCAAACAGGAUUAGAUACCCUGGUAGUCCACGCCCUAAACGAUGGGAACUAAGUGU
rnacentral:rRNA from 1 species